AGAAUCAACGCUGGCGGCGUGCCUAACACAUGCAAGUCGAACGAGAAAGGGUAGCAAUACCCAAGUAAAGUGGCGCACGGGUGAGUAACACGUGACUAACCUACCCUGGAGUGGGGGGAUAACUGAGGGAAACCUUAGCUAAUACCGCAUAACACCUACGGGUCAAAGGAGCAAUUCACUUCAGGAGGGGGUCGCGGCCGAUUAGUUAGUUGGCGGGGUAAAGGCCCACCAAGACGAUGAUCGGUAUCCGGCCUGAGAGGGCGCGACGGAACGACGACUGGAACGUGAAACACGGUCCAGACUCCUACGGGAGGCAGCAGUGGGGAAUUUUGCGCAAUGGGGGAAACCCUGACGCAGCAACGCCGCGUGGAGGAUGAAGUACUUCGGUACGUAAACUCCUUUCGAUCGGGACGAUAAUGACGGUACCGAGAGAAGAAGCCCGGCUAACUUCGUGCCAGCAGCCGC
rnacentral:rRNA from 1 species